GAAAUGCGAUAAGUAAUGUGAAUUGCAGAAUUCAGUGAAUCAUCGAAUCUUUGAACGCACCUUGCGCUCCUUGGUAUUCCUUGGAGCAUGCCUGUUUGAGUAUCAUGAAAUCUUCAAAGUAAAUCUUUUGUUAACUCAAUUGGUUUCUACUUUGGUAUUGGAGGUCUUUGCAGCUUCACACCUGCUCCUCUUUGUUCAUUAGCUGGAUCUCAGUGUUAUGCUUGGUUCCACUGGGCGUGAUAAGUUAUCUAUCGCUGAGGACACUGUAAAAGGUGGCCAAGGUAAAUGCAGAUGAACCGCUUCUAAUAGUCCAUUGACUUGGACAAUACUUUUAUGAUCUGAUCUCAAAUCAGGUAGGACUACCCGCUGAACUUAAGC
rnacentral:misc_RNA from 1 species